GACCUCUGCACACUGUGCUCAGCUGGAGUCGUCAGCUGUCCCUUUGGGUCUUUUAUCACUGCUUUGUCAAGCUAUCUAUUUAAUUGAAAGAAGUUAAUUGAAUGAAAAUGAUCAACUAAGCUUGUAUUAAUAUUGCUAAUGGAACUUUCUUCUUGGCCAUGUUUGGAGAAAGAUGUCAAGCUAGACUUUAGGAAAGGCCCAUUAAUGCUUGCACUUAACCUGAUGGGCUAAUUAAGGGCUGCUUAUUCAUCCUGCGAGCCCACGAUGGGCUCUGUGCGGCCCGUUCUGCCUGGUUUUACAACACAUUUCACUUCUGAGCACCAGCAUUAGUAGCAGUGAGAGUAACUGAUAAUGUUUUGAUUGCACUGAAUACAGUACUAAUGCAUCAUUGAAUUUAUAAUAUGUGCGGAUUGAUGUAAUAUAUAUUUGCACAAUUUAUUUUAAUUACCUGUCUCUGUAUUCCUAAGUAAACUCUUAAGGUCACAUGUUGAGCCCUUAAUAUGUCCUUGCUUAAAGACUAACACUUUUGCAUCUUUUCUAAGUUAAAAUAAGCUAUGUCACCCAUUUAAACUUGUAAUUCUUGUGUAAGCUUUUCCUGGACGUGGCUGUUAAUGGUAGCAUAUGUUUUUCUUUUAACAAUCUAAUUAAACUCUGGGAUGUUUGUUAGUAAAACUUUCCACUAUGCAUGUUAUCAGGUUUCGUGUACAGUAUC
rnacentral:lncRNA from 1 species